rnacentral:rRNA from 1 species
GACGGAAGGUGCAAGCGUUGCUCGGAAUCACUGGGCGUAAAGGGUGCGUAGGCGGCCGUGCAAGUCUGGCGUGAAAGCCCCGGGCUCAGCCCGGGAAGUGCGCUCGAAACUGCGCGGCUCGAGUGCCGGAGGGGAGAGUGGAAUUCCUGGUGUAGCGGUGAAAUGCGUAGAUAUCAGGAGGAAUACCGGUGGCGAAGGCAGCUCGCUGGGACGGUACUGACGCUAAGGCGCGAAAGCGUGGGGAGCGAACAGG